rnacentral:rRNA from 1 species
CCUACGGGAGGCAGCAGUUAGGAAUAUUGGACAAUGGGCGCAAGCCUGAUCCAGCCAUGCCGCGUGAGUGAUGAAGGCCUUCGGGUUGUAAAGCUCUUUAGCCGAUGUCUGUAGUCGGAAAAUAAGCCCCGGCUAACUUCGUGCCAGCAGCCGCGGUAAUACGAAGGGGGCGAGCGUUAUUCGGAAUCACUGGGCGUAAAGCGUGCGUAGGCGGUUUUGUAAGUUGGAAGUGAAAGCCCAGGGCUCAACCUUGGAAUUGCUUUCAAAACUACAAGACUUGAAUUCGGGAGAGGAUAGCGGAAUUAUCAGUGUAGCAGUGAAAUGCGUAGAUAUUGAUAGGAACACCAGUGGCGUAAGCGGCUAUCUGGACCGAAUUGACGCUGAGGCACGAAAGCGUGGGGAUCAAACAGAUUAGAUACCCCGGUAGUC